UCGUGUCUCUCUCUCUCUCUCUCUCUCUCUCUCUCUCUCUCUCUCUCUCUCUCCCUCUCUCUCAUUUGAUCUUUCCUUCUGUUUAUCCGGACGACUCCCAUACUCUCCGUCUCUCUUCCUUUUUACUCAGACGGAGGGACUGGUUUACCGGCUGGCAGGGCCGUAGGUGCCCAGGAGCGGCUAAACAAUGGUUAACGACGGGACAGGACCUUUAACGAGCCUCUUUGACGCGUCUCGGGUGUCGUGGAUGUCACUUCUUCAGGGUGGAUCCGCCGCUGCAAAUCUAGAAAUGCCAACCUCAAUAACGAGGAUGCAAGGACCGGCUGAGAAUCCGUCCAGGGGGUCAAUCAUGAAUCUUUUCCCCUAGGGUGGAAACGUGAAAAAUGAAAAAUCUCUCUUUCUAUUGAUGUUAAAUAGAAAAAGAUAGUCAUAUAAAACUUUUCAUUUUUCACGUUCCACUUUAAUACAUGAUUGAUCCCCAGAAUAUAAUUUUUCUCCCACGUAAAUCAAGAGAAUAAAAGUUCAUUGACUUGAGUAAGGAUUUCAUGUUAACAAUAAGACGACGAUAAAAUAAAGUUACUUAAAUUCCCAGAUUACGGAAGAGUUGGAACGGGACUCCAGUUUUCUGCACGAGCCUACGUGAUUUCGAGGCGUAAAAGAUAACACGUUUAAUGGUCUUCUGUAGUUUAUAAAAUAACAGGGUACGUCCAAUGAGCCGCGAUUAAUAUUGCAGCGAAUCUUUAACGAACGAGCGUAAUUUCUCGAAUGUUCUUCAGUCUCCAGACAUUUUCAUUAUGAUUACCAAGCGGGAAUCAAUUAACACAAGUAUACAAAUUUUCAAUAAACGCAACUGUUUAAUUGUCAUUUAUACAAAUUGUUCCAAGAAGAGGGAUUUAAAAAAAAAUUCUAAUUGAAUAUGCGAGAGAAUAUCAGACAGUUUCUUUUUUCUGCAAGUCUCUUUAUUUUCAUUUGUUCCUCCUUUAAAAAUAUGAUAAUAAUUACUAGAUAUGCAUUAUUUAUUAUCAGUAGAGAGCAUUAGAAUUAUAAGUCUGGUCCAUUGGUAUAUUUUUCGCUAAAUAACAAAUAAACUUUUGGCCGAAGAUUCACAAUGUUCCUCGACGAGCGCAUCUUGUACAUCCGUCCUCGAGGGCGCCGCUCCUCCCGGCUGUCCGAAAAGAGAGGAGAGUGAAGAGAGAGUAUCUCGAAAGAGGAGGAGGAGGAGGAGGAGGAGGAUGCUGCGCUGCGCCGGCGAGGAUCGCGUGUGCGGUUCGUCCGGUCAUUGCACGCCGAGCUUUUCGGAUCUCGAUUUCAGGGGCCCUUGCUCUUAACAGGGGCCCUCCUCUCUUCGGGCUUCCUAUCCCUUUGUGCCGUUUAUCCAGCGACCCUCCGUCUCGCGGCGUCCUCUCCCCACUCUUCGUCCGUUCUACGGAUGAAUCCCUCCAUCCUUGCCCUUCUCGCGUCAAGAUUUACCCACCGUCUCGCUCGUUCAUUCGCGAAUCGCGCGGCGCUACGUCGCGAUAUUUUUAUUCAGUUUUAUUUUGGGGAACAUCUGGUGGCUGGCAUGCGGACAAAGGAAACUUGCUCGCUCAGAAAAUCCUCACGCAGGAGGCAAGAGGGUGGCUCGCGCGCACGCGGUUAGGCUUAUUUACUUGCUCCUAGUGAGUGACGUAGAAUGUUUGUAAACAAUGGGCCCACAAUGAUGGCGCAGAGAGACGAUGAUGGUGAAAUGAAUUAGGGGCGAUUCGGGGUUCCGCGUAGCUGCUCGCUCCUGGGAUCUGCGGAGAAUAGGAAACGCUUUACAUUUAAGAUACAUAUACGUCGUGUAAAAGAAGCAGACUUUAUUUUCAACAUGUUCGGCUGAGUCAUCUUCAAUGAAAAGAAGAUUCAAAAUCCAUUUUGUCCCGACGCGGACUGAGCAGCGCUGAACGAGGCUGAGAAAGGCCCGAUGUUAAAACUCGCGCUCUGUG